rnacentral:rRNA from 1 species
AUUUGAUAAUUAAAUGGAUACUAGUAGGAAACUAGAGUCUAAUACAUGACCAAGGUCGUAAGACUGUCAUUUAUUAGAUAUACCAGUCGGUGAAUCAUAUACUAGCAAAUCGAAACAACGUUUCGAUAAAUCAUUCAAGUUUCUGACCUAUCAUGCUGGAUGGUAGUGUAUUGGACUACCAAGGCAGUCACGGGUAACGGAGAAUUAGGGUUCGAUUCCGGAGAAGGAGCCUGAGAAACGGCUACUACAUCUAAGGAAGGCAGCAGGCGCGUAAAUUACCCAAUCCUAAAAUCAGGGAGGUAGUGACAAGAUAUAACAACGCGAUUAAAUAUCGCGAUUGUAGUGAGGGUAUUCUAAAAAUAGCUUCGAGUACGAUUGGAGGGCAAGUCUGGUGCCAGCAGCCGCGGUAAUUCCAGCUCCAAUAGCGUAUAUUAAAGUUGUUGCAGUUAAAAAGCUCGUAGUUGGAUUUCAAGAAACGCAUCUGGGCAACCAGUUUGC